UGGGCCGCCGUGACCCUGCUGGAGUGCAGGGUGGGACCUCCAGCCCCCCGGGGGGUCUCUGACUCUGCUCUGCCGCGCCUCCGGGUUCAAUUUCGGGAUUUAUGGAAUGAUGUGGAUCCGCCAGAGACCGGGGAAGGCGCUGGAAUGGGUCGCAGGGAUCAGAUAUAGUGGUGGCUACACCGCCGACGCACCAUCGGUCAAGGGCCGGUUCAGGAUCUCCAGGGACAACGGGCAGAGCUCGGUGACGCUGACCAUGAACAGCCUCAAGGACGAGGAUUCCGGCGCCUAUUUCUGCGCCAAAUGUGAUGGUGGUGGUUGUGAUUAUGAAGUUUAUG